GGGAAUAUUGGGCAAUGGAGGCAACUCUGACCCAGCAACGCCGCGUGAGUGAUGAAGGUCUUCGGAUUGUAAAACUCUUUAAGUGGGGACGAAGAAAGUGACUGUACCCACAGAAUAAGCCUCGGCUAACUACGUGCCAGCAGCCGCGGUAAUACGUAGGAGGCAAGCGUUAUCCGGAAUGACUGGGCGUAAAGGGUGCGUAGGUGGUUUGACAAGUUAGUAGCGUAAUUCCGGGGCUCAACUUCGGAACUACUACUAAAACUGUUGGGCUUGAGUGCAGGAGAGGUGAAUGGAAUUCCUAGUGUAGCGGUGGAAUGCGUAGAUAUUAGGAGGAACACCAGCGGCGAAAGCGAUUCACUGGACUGUAACUGACACUGAGGCACGAAAGCGUGGGGAGCAAACAGG
rnacentral:rRNA from 1 species